UUUCACCCGGCUGAACACAGCCCCGUUUUUUACUUUCCAGAGCACCAAGGCUCUCGUACUACAUCGCCUGGCCUUUAUACUCAGGUAACGCAGCGGCCAAGCAUACAGACCCCCACGCACGCACCACACGGCCACCACUACCGGCCACUAACUCCAGGCCGGCUAACCAGCUAACUACCAGUGCAUGCAUGCGCUAACAACCACACCUUGCAGCCACCAAGUUCGGCCUGGCUAGCUAGCUCCGGCUCUCACGCCUACCCAGCGACACACACGCAUGCCACAAGCACACGCAACGCACGCACGCACAUGAACGCAUGGCUUAUUUCUAACAUUCUCCUCCUAAGCCAUGAUCUCGCCGUCGUCGAAGUUGUUGCAGCACCUGUCAUUGUCGUCGUCAUAGUCGUGACCCAGCCCGCGGACCCGACCUGCCGCAACGACGCCGGUCGCACCGUGCUCCAUCAUGACUCCGGCAACAUACGCCGAGCUCCUUCUCCGCCGGCGACACACGUCUGGCGUCCCUCUGCGCCCCGCACGUCCCGCGCGCACCCAACGCGCCCGACGAGCCCGAUCGCAGCAGUGCGUCCCGCAUGUCCCGCGCGCAUCCGACGCGCCCGACGAGCCCGACAGCACCAGACGCUUACCGCGUGCCGCCUCCGCGUCCGCCAUGGCAGCCGCCACACCGCGCCUACGUGUCACGCACCUUCCACGGUUGUCGCCCCGAGCCGUCGCGACCUUUGCGCCACCACGCAGGUCCUUCGCGACCUCCUCGUCUCCGCGACCGCCGUGCCCUUCGCGCGCACUCCCCACGUCCCCGCACUCCCGGCCCGCGCUCCCGCCGCGCACAUACGCGAUCUGCGCAACCGGGUCCAGCGCCCCGACGUGGUCCGCACCCGCGAUCCCGACGUGCCCGCUACGUCUGACGCGCGCCCAUACACGCGCCCGACGCGGUGAGCCCGUCGCCGCGGCUUGUUCUGCCACGCUCCGCACGCCACCAGCCCGCGCCAUGAUCGCGCUCCGACGCGACCAACGUGGCCGAUCCGGCGUGUCCCGGAGCUUGGCCUUCCCUCCGCCGAGCCACGCCGCGCCACCGCAGCCUCUGCGCCAUCGCGCAGGUCCGUCGCGGCCGCCGCGCUCUCCGCGUGCCCGGCAUCACCGUGCUCCGCCGCCGCACGGGACGAGCGCCAUCGCCGGCGAGCUCCUCCGAACCCGAUGCUCCGAUACCAAUUGUUGUUGCCGCUCUCCCUCUCUCACUCAAAACUGGAGGUAGAAGAAGGAAUAGGGUACACUGGAAUUUUCACCCGGCUGAACACAGCCCCGUUUUUUACUUUCCAGAGCACCAAGGCUCUCGUACUACAUCGCCUGGCCUUUAUACUCAGGUAACGCAGCGGCCAAGCAUACAGACCCCCACGCACGCACCACACGGCCACCACUACCGGCCACUAACUCCAGGCCGGCUAACCAGCUAACUACCAGUGCAUGCAUGCGCUAACAACCACACCUUGCAGCCACCAAGUUCGGCCUGGCUAGCUAGCUCCGGCUCUCACGCCUACCCAGCGACACACACGCAUGCCACAAGCACACGCAACGCACGCACGCACAUGAACGCAUGGCUUAUUUCUAACACGAAUCGUGUCGGAGACGGGGCUGCUGGCAGGAUACAGAGCGGCUUCGUGCCGGCGCGGUCGUGGCUGGGCUAAGAUCAGACCGACAGCAGAGGAGCUUCCAUGGCGCCAUCCAUGGCGUCUCUGGGUUCCUCGCCGAUAAGGGGUGCUGCCCUGGCUCUGGCCAGCCACCACGGCCGCGCGCACUCCAGGAGAGUGGAGUGCAUCGUCGGCGCAACAUGUGUAGAAGAGGAGGAGGAGCGGCACUGGGUGAUAGUGUGGCUGAAGAAGAGGAGAACCAGCGGUGCAUAGAUAAGACUGAGAGACACGCGGAUGG
rnacentral:lncRNA from 1 species